rnacentral:rRNA from 1 species
AUUGAACGCUGGCGGCAGGCCUAACACAUGCAAGUCGAACGAGUGGCGGACGGGUGAGCAAUGUCUGGGAAACUGCCCGAUGGAGGGGGAUAACUACUGGAAACGGUAGCUAAUACCGCAUACCAUCGGAUGUGCCCAGAUGGGAUUAGCUAGUAGGUGGGGUAAAGGCUCACCUAGGCGACGAUCCCUAGCUGGUCUGAGAGGAUGACCAGCCACCCUGGAACUGAGACACGGUCCAGACUCCUACGGUGGGCAGCAGUGGUGAAUAUUGCACAAUGGGCGCAAGCCUGCUGCAGCCAUGCCGCGUGUAUGAAGAAGGCCUUCGAGUUGUAAAGUACUUUCAGCGGGGAGGCGUUACCCGCAGGAGAAGCACCGGCUAACUCCGUGCCAGCAGCCGCGGUAAUUC